GACGAACGCUGGCGGCGUGCUUAACACAUGCAAGUCGAACGGAAAGGCCCCUUUGGGGGUACUCGAGUGGCGAACGGGUGAGUAACACGUGAGUAACCUGCCCUUGACUUCGGGAUAACUUCAGGAAACUGGGGCUAAUACCGGAUAGGAAUCCUUGCUGCAUGGUGGGGGUUGGAAAGCUUCGGCGGUUUUGGAUGGACUCGCGGCUUAUCAGCUUGUUGGUGGGGUAGUGGCUUACCAAGGCUUUGACGGGUAGCCGGCCUGAGAGGGCGACCGGCCACAUUGGGACUGAGAUACGGCCCAGACUCCGACGGGAGGCAGCAGUGGGGAAUAUUGCACAAGGGGCGGAAGCCUGAUGCAGCAACGCCGCGGGCGGGAGGACGGCCUUCGGGUUGUAAACCGCUUUCAGCAGGGGCGAAGCUUGUGGUGACGGUACCUGCAGAAGAAGCACCGGCUAACUACGUG
rnacentral:rRNA from 1 species